rnacentral:lncRNA from 1 species
AAUCCAACCAUCAACCAAAUCACCACAAUCCAACAGAGUCCCAGUUGCAAACACAGAUAGGAAGUUCAAGCACAAACAACAGUUACAGCAAGUAGAACAAUUAGCAGUUAAUCAUAUAGACAAACCAAGUACAAUAUGCACACCCAAACAAUGUCACAUAGAUGCAUAUGAUGCAUGCCUGUCCCUAGUGGCUGAUGAUAUCAUCUGUCGGUUAUAUAGCCAACCCGACACGUCCUGGUAGCUAACCAUGGACAGAAACACCCAUCGCGGAGCAAGUAGGUUUGAGCUACAACCCCAUUGCUACUACCCGUUCAACCCAGAGCCAGUGGAAUAACCACUACUGCGGC